AGCGAACGCUGGCGGCAGGCCUAACACAUGCAAGUCGAACGAACCUUUCGGGGUUAGUGGCGGACGGGUGAGUAACACGUGGGAACGUGCCUUUAGGUUCGGAAUAACUCAGGGAAACUUGUGCUAAUACCGAAUGUGCCCUUCGGGGGAAAGAUUAAUCGCCUUUAGAGCGGCCCGCGUCUGAUUAGCUAGUUGGUUGAGGUAAUGGCUCACCAAGGCGACGAUCAGUAGCUGGUCUGAGAGGAUGAUCAGCCACAUUGGGACUGAGACACGGCCCAAACUCCUACGGGAAGCAGCAGUGGGGAAUCUUGCGCAAUGGGCGAAAGCCUGACGCAGCCAUGCCGCGUGAAUGAUGAAGGUCUUAGGAUUGUAAAAUUCUUUCACCGGGGACGAUAAUGACGGUACUCGGAGAAGAAGCCCCGGCUAACUUCGUG
rnacentral:rRNA from 1 species